GAGACAGAGAGAGACUCUGUCUCAAAAAAAAAAAACAAAGCACAAACAAACAAACAAACAAACAAACAAAAACCUGACAGUAGAGGGACUGUGUGCUGAGGCUCUGGGCUGAUCCUGUACUGAACAACACACGGAAACCCCAGACUGAGAGGGUCAGUUUCAUCCUGGGAACUGGGUCACCAGGAUGUCACUCCUUUAAGAGGAAAUGAAAGUGCAGGAGGUUGGGGAGAAGAGGGGUUGGCUCCUAUCCUUGGGGCCAGCCACAACCCACCUCCCGAGAGAUCUUUCUUACUGCCUUAGGCUUUUGCAAAAAUUGGGGGGGACCCUUUUCUCUAGACCAUACCUAUUUUUUGGUUGUUUUAAAAUAUGCCGUGGUGGAAAUUUCAGGACACAAAGUCACCUGGAGACCAAUCACGGUGUUCUUUUCAUUCCCCCUUGUUUUCUGCCACAAACCAACAUUACCCAAUAUGCCCAAAUGCCCACACUGCAGCCCUCUGCUCAUGAAAGGAAUUCUUUUCUCAAGGCCUUCUCCUGGUUUUCUGGAAGUAAGCACAGAGGGUUUGCCCGCCCUCAGGGUCUGCUUUAAAGAAGUGGACACUGAGGGGCGGUGGGAAUGGCAGGGAUCCCCCUUUAAGGCAGGGCUCACUUCUUCCUGCGUUAACAGGCAGCAUGAGCAGGCCGCUGAGCAGGCCGGGGAGACUCCCAGCAAGAACUUUGCAAACAUCCUGGGUUUGCUUUUGCACCCAGUGAGGUGAAAUGAACCCCGUGGGACUUACUUGAGAUGAACAGUUGUCAGUCACAGGCCUUAACCCCUUUUUAAUAUCUUCCAUGAUAAAGCGAAAGUGAGGGUCUGGGAGCUUUAGGCCCACAAAGGGAAUUGUGAUGAGGGAGCUCCUGGGACCCCUAUCCCUGAACACUCCUGAGCUACAGCCUCGGACCUGACCUGGAGGCUGCCAGAGGGAGGGGCUGGCUGUGACUCUAGCAGGAUCCCUGAAUUUGCUGGUGAAUGAAUAAAUGCCUGGCAAGAAGUAGCAUUUACUGAGUGUUCCCGUUCUGGGGCCUGAGCUAGGUGUUUUGCAUCUUUUUUCUGUUUAACUUUCUCAAUGGUACGAUAAAGCGAGAACAGGUGUGUGCAUUUAACAGACCAUGAACGUGAGGCUCCACAUAAGUAAGAGCUGCCCCAGGUCACGCAGUAGCAACUCUCAAAUCUGAACCCAGGGCUAUCUGACUUCAAAGCACGCUUCCCUCCCACGAUGACAUGCUGCUUCCUGUGGGGCAGGCUAAAUGGAUCAGGCAAAACGGUACAGAGGGAUAAUACGAGGGACACGGAGAUGAUCUGGGCAGGGCUGCUGGUCUCCAGCAACUCAAGGGUGAAAAAACGUUUGGGUUAAUUGUUGCAGUGUAAAAACAGAACUGCCUGUGUGAUAACAGGAGCCUGUAAGCGAGCGUCUGCAGGUAGGUGUGCCAGUGUACGCACAGCCGUAAACUACACACAAGGGCAGGUCUGCUUGCACACAAGAGCGUGUGUGUGCUCCAGUGCCUGCGUGUGCAUGGGUGUGUUGCCCGUGUGAGUGGGCGUGCACCAGCAAGACUGUGUGGCACAAAAGCCAUUUCUGGCUCUGGAGUUCACGGGAGGCUACAUGGAGCAGGUGGCGUUUGAGUUGGGCCUGUUGCCAUGAGGGGUGUUUGGGAAGGUGGGUAAGGCUCUUCAGGCAGACAGCAGCCUGAGCUCUGGGGUAUUCUCUGAGAACAGGGAAUGGCCUAUCUCAGCCGAAGAGGAAGAAGCAUGGGGCGGAAGAAGAUGAGAAUGGCAGAAGGGAUUCUGUAGUUGGAGCAUGAAGGUCUUGAUUGAGGAAUUUGUGUGUGAUCUGGCAGGCACUGGGGAGCCACUGAAGGCUGUAGAGCAGGGAGAGUGUUGUGAAUUGAACAAUGACUGGACUCAGUCUGUGACCGGGAUGGCCCUUCUUCAAAUUCUAUGACUGCAUGGGGCGGUGAAUAUCCCAGUAGGGGAAUGGGGAAGGGAGCUUGCCUCUCUGGCAAAGCAUAUUCACUCACUGCUGGGAGAGAUGAGGCUGCAGGGGAGUGGGUCUGGGCAACUUUCAUGGGCAUCCUCUUUAAAGGUAAAACUUUAGGCAAAAUGUGUGACUCAGCACGGUCUUUGAGCAUGCACCGGGUGCUCAGCCUGGGAUCCCCCACGCCACCAGCAGUCAUGCUAGCGGGGACUUUACAGAAGAGAGGACUGGCCUUCCCUGGGGUUGAACGCCCUGACCAAAGUCACACAGCUGGUGAGCAGAGGAACCGGGCUCCUGCCACCUCCGCUAGGCGCAAAGCCUGGGCUGAGCCCUAAGAACUACCACGCAAGGCCACCCAUAGCAGAGGCGAAGGCCUGCAGGGGGAUGUAGCUGGCUUUGGACAGUGCCAGGGAGAGCCCAGGAGCCGGCCAACUAUGUCCACGCGGCUGCCAUGGAUAGAGAAGCUGGCAAGACAGGUCUGGAGUGGCCCAGAGAAUGCCACUGGGGCCAGACAGCCUCUGGGGACUUACACUGGGGGGAUGCAGGUGGGGAGGGGAGAGAAGCCUGCAUGGACUGCGUGCCAUUUCCAAAGCCACCAUGUUUACUACUGGAAGUGGCUGAGCUCCCUGACCUGGAAAAUUUAAGUUUUUCCAUCAUCUGUGAAGUGAUGGCCUAUAAGGUCCCCGAGCAGAAUAAAACAAAGUAUCUUACGCCUGGGCACGUCCAGGUGUGCGUGCCAAGCUCCACUACUGGGGCAAGGGCGCUCACUCAACUGUUCCUUCUCCAGCCCUGGGAGGGAGGCGCUGGAAUGAUCAGCUCCAUUUUUCAGAUGAAGAAGACACAGAGUUUGAGAGAGAGGAAGUCACUUGCCCCAUGUCAGCCAGCCAGCCAACUGGGGAGGUCGGCCUUCAGAGCUCUGGCAACAGACCGCCGCCAUGUCAUAGAUGGCUUCCCAGUUUGUGAGAGUGUCUCGUAAGGGACGAGUGAACGGGGGAGACAGCAGGAAACUCAGCAGCCACAACAGGGAGAGACUUGCUGCCUGCUCAGGAACGAAGACCAGGUGGAACGAAAGCAGGGCAGAACAAGAGCGUGUGCAUCCUCUUACCACCGUGAUACUCAGGCCAUGUCUGCACCCACACCAAGAUGGGAAGGGAGCGUCGAGCUGGGACUUCAGGGACUAGGAAGGAUGGCAACAGACAUGGGGUUCUCUAUGACUUUCCAUUUUAUCUUCCAUUUUCACAGUAAGUUUUAAAACUCUGUGUCUCCAGAUUCAGCAUGAGAAGGAGAAGUUCCCUGAAUCCUCUGGGCAUUGGGGACAGCCCUGCCACCCACCCUGACAGUGUCCCUGGGUGACAAAGGGAUGUGGUCAGUCCUCACAUGAGGAGGGACUGAGUGUCCUCCAUGGACCUGCGACCUCCCGUCUGUGAGGCCCCCGCUACCUUCUGCAGCUUUCUGCAUGGAUCAGAGACAGGAGAAGCAGGCACACUGAUGGCUGUGUAGCACCACUUGCCAGUUUGGGGCAGUCGGGACCACCUCGACUCCCUAUCUCCAGGCAGGGCGGGGAGGGAACGGUCCUCCUACCCCAGGAGAGCCUCAAGGGCUGUGUACGCCCUGCAAUGCAGGCACACCCCCUUCCACUCUCUGAAUGCUCUGCCACAAACAGCCACUGCGAGUGUAAUGAACACCCCAAAACAGGGAGCCCUGUGACUCACCACUGCUGCUUCAGGGACAGGGACAGCUGCCAGAAUUCUUAGCUCUCUUUUACAGAUGGGGAAAUUGGGACUCAAGAGGGGGAUGCGAUCUCUCCAAGCUCACACAGCCAAUCUGUGGCAGGGAA